GAUGAACGCUAGCGGCAGGCCUAAUACAUGCAAGUCGAACGGUAAGUAUGAUAGCAAUAUUAUACGAGAGUGACGUACGGGUGCGUAACACGUAUGCAACCUACCCUUUACAGGCGGAUAGCUCGGGGAAACUCGAAUUAACCCGUCAUAAUAUAAUUGGAUGGCAUCAUUUGAUUAUUAAAACUCCGGUGGUAAAGGAUGGGCAUGCGUCUGAUUAGUUAGUUGGCGGGGUAACGGCCCACCAAGACGAUGAUCAGUAGGGGAACUGAGAGGUUGAUCCCCCACACUGGCACUGAGAUACGGGCCAGACUCCUACGGGAGGCAGCAGUAGGGAAUAUUGGUCAAUGGAUGGAAGUCUGAACCAGCCAUGCCGCGUGCAGGAAGAAGGCCUUCUGGGUUGUAAACUGCUUUUGCCAGGGGAUAAAAUUUCCUUGCGAGGAAAAUUGGAGGUACCUGGUGAAUAAGCCACGGCUAACUACGUGCCAGCAGCUGCGGUAAUACGUAGGUGGCAAGCGUUGUCCGGAUUUAUUGGGUUUAAAGGGUGCGUAGGCGGCUUUGUAAGUCAGUGGUGAAAUAUCGCAGCUUAACUGUGAGGGUGCCAUUGAUACUGCAGAGCUUGAGUACAGAUGAGGUAGGCGGAAUGGACGGUGUAGCGGUGAAAUGCUUAGAUAUCGUCAAGAACACCUAUAUCGAAGGCAGCUUACUAGGCUGUAACUGACGCUGAGGCACGAAAGUGUGGGGAUCAAACAGGAUUAGAUACCCUGGUAGUCCACACUGUAAACGUUGAUUACUCGCUGUGUGCGAUAUACAGUACGCGGCCAAGCGAAAGCGAUAAGUAAUCCACCUGGGGAGUACGCCGGCAACGGUG
rnacentral:rRNA from 1 species